CCCUUAGAUGGUCUGGGCGGCACGCGCGCCACAAUGAUGCAUUCAAAAAGUCUUCUGACCUUAGAAGGUUGGGUAUUCUCCAAAGUGCAUCGUGAUGGGGAUAGUUUAUUGCAAUUUUUAAUCUUGAACGAGGAAUUCCUAGUAAGUACAGGUCAUCAACUUGUGUUGAUUACGUCCCUGCCCUUUGUACACACCGCCCGUCGCUCCUACUGAUUGAGUGUCUCGGUGAAUUCUUUGAUCUUCUGUCGAUUCAGUUCACUGAUCCGACGGUGGAAAGUUGAAUGAACUUCGUCACUUAGAGGAAGGAGAAGUCGUAACA
rnacentral:rRNA from 1 species